GGUGGGGAGAAAAAACUUUCUUCACUUUAGAACAUUAAAAUUGCAUUGAAGAUCAAACACAUAUAGUUAAGAAAAAUUGUUUAAGUAGGUUUUAGCUGACAGAAACACAGUUUACAAAUUCUCACAGUAUUAGGAUGAAAUACAGACGGGAGGAUUCUCAAUUUUAUUUUAUUUUUUCUUUCUUCCUUUUUUUCUUUUUAAUCUCAGGUACUUCUGGUGACAUUGUGCUGACUCAGUCUCCCUCCUCUCUGUCUGGGGCUCCUGGAGAGAAAAUCACCAUCACCUGCACAGCCAGUCAAAGUGUCAAGUACACUGAUGGGAAAACCUAUCUGAACUGGUUCCAACAGAAAAGUGGACGAGUUAAGCAACUCAUUUACCAAGUUUCCAACUUACGAACUGGAGUCCCAUCUCGGUUCAGUGGCAGUGGGUCUGACAGAGAUUUCAGCCUCACCAUCAGCAGCCUGGAGGCUGAAGAUGCCGCAGUCUACUACUGUGCACAAGGUUCCUAUACUCCUCCACAGUGAUACAGUCCAUAA